rnacentral:rRNA from 1 species
GCGGUAAGACGUAGGACGCAAGCGUUAUCCGGAUUUACUGGGCGUAAAGCGCCUGUAGCCGGUCAAGUAAGUCGGAUGUGAAAGCCCCGUGCUCAGCGCGGGGAAGCCAUUCGAUACUGCGUGACUAGAGAACGGCAGAGGGAAACGGAAUUUCUGGUGUACCGGUAAAAUGCGCAGAGAUCAGAAAGGACACCGAUGGCGAAGGCAGUUUCCUAGGCCGCAUCUGACGCUGAGAGGCGAAAGCUAGGGGAGCAAACAGGAUUAGAGACCCUGGUAGUCCUAGCUGUAAACGAUGGAUGCUAGGUGUGGGCCGGAAAGGUCCGUGCCGUAGUUAACGCGAUAAGCAUCCCGCCUGGGGAGUACGGCCGCAAGGCUAAAACUCAAACGAAUUGACGGGGACCCGCACAAGCAGCGGAGCGUGUGGUUUAAUUCGAUGCUACACGCAGAACCUUACCUGGGCUUGACAUGUAGGUGGUAGUGAAGUGAAAGCGGAGCGACCCUUCGGGGAGCCUACACAGGUGCUGCAUGGCUGUCGUCAGCUCGUGCCGUGAGGUGUCGGGUUAAGUCCCGUAACGAGCGCAACCCUUGUCCUUAGUUACAAGUGUCUAAGGAGACUGCCGGUGACAAACCGGAGGAAGGUGGGGAUGACGUCAAGUCAGCAUGGCCCUUAUGUCCAGGGCGACACACACGCUACAAUGGUCGGUACAAUGGGCAGCGCAGCCGCGAGGUGAAGCGAAUCCCAACAAAGCCGAUCCCAGUUCGGAUUGCAGGCUGCAACCCGCCUGCAUGAAGCCGGAGUUGCUAGUAACCGCGCGUCAGCCAUAGUGCGGUGAAUACGUUCCCGGGUCUUGUACACACCGCCCGUCACGUCAUGGGAGUUGGUAACGCCUGAAGCCGGUAGUCUGACCUAACGGAGGACGCCGUCGAAGGCGGGACUGU